GUUUGAUCCUGGCUCAGAACGAACGCUGGCGGCAGGCUUAACACAUGCAAGUCGAGCGCGCCCUUCUGGGUGAGCGGCGAACAGGUGAGUAACCCGUGGGAACGUGCCCCUUUCUUCCGAAUACCCUCCGGAAACUGGGAGUAAUGCCCAAUACUCCCAUUUGGAGUGAUCCAUUUGGGGAAAGAUUUAUCGGAAAGGGAUCUGCCCCCGUUGGAUUAGGUAGUUGGUGGGGUAAUGGCCUACCUAGCCGACGAUCCGUACCUGGUUUGAGACGAUGAUCAG
rnacentral:rRNA from 1 species